CCUAUUAUUUAAGAGGUAAACAUUGUUAGUAAAUAAAAAUUACGAAAGCAAAAAAUUAUGGCGGUAUUUUAAGCUUUUCAGAGGAAUUUGCUCUUUAAUGGAUAAAACACCUAAAUCUUACUUAAAUUUGUUAAUUCAAUUUGUAUACCACUAUAAAAACAAUUAAUAACUUCAAUUGUUAAAAUUUAUUAAAUUAAGUUAUAUUAAGUCAAGGUGCAGUAAAAAUUUAAGAAUGAAGUGAAUUACAUUUCUUUUUAGAGAGAGAAAUUUAAAUAACAUUUAGGAUUUGAAAGUAAAAUUGAAAUAGAAUGUCAAUU
rnacentral:rRNA from 1 species